rnacentral:rRNA from 1 species
UACGUAGGGCGCAAGCGUUAUCCGGAAUUAUUGGGCGUAAAGAGCGUGUAGGCGGUCCGGUAAGUCAGCUGUGAAAGUCAAGGGCUCAACCCUUGAAUGCCGGUUGAUACUGUCGGGCUAGAGUCCGGAAGAGGCGAGUGGAAUUCCCGGUGUAGCGGUGAAAUGCGCAGAUAUCGGGAGGAACACCAAUGGCGAAGGCAGCUCGCUGGGACGGUACUGACGCUGAGACGCGAAAGCGUGGGGAGCAACAGG